CCCUUCGGGGUGGAUUAGUGGCGAACGGGUGAGUAACACGUGGGCAAUCUGCCCUUCACUCUGGGACAAGCCCUGGAAACGGGGUCUAAUACCGGAUAACACUCCUGCCUGCAUGGGUGGGGGUUAAAAGCUCCGGCGGUGAAGGAUGAGCCCGCGGCCUAUCAGCUUGUUGGUGAGGUAGUGGCUCACCAAGGCGACGACGGGUAGCCGGCCUGAGAGGGCGACCGGCCACACUGGGACUGAGACACGGCCCAGACUCCUACGGGAGGCAGCAGUGGGGAAUAUUGCACAAUGGGCGAAAGCCUGAUGCAGCGACGCCGCGUGAGGGAUGACGGCCUUCGGGUUGUAAACCUCUUUCAGCAGGGAAGAAGCGAAAGUGACGGUACCUGCAGAAGAAGCGCCGGCUAACUACGUGCCAGCAGCCGCGGUAAUACGUAGGGCGCAAGCGUUGUCCGGAAUUAUUGGGCGUAAAGAGCUCGUAGGCGGCUUGUCACGUCGGUUGUGAAAGCCCGGGGCUUAACCCCGGGUCUGCAGUCGAUACGGGCAGGCUAGAGUGUGGUAGGGGAGAUCGGAAUUCCUGGUGUAGCGGUGAAAUGCGCAGAUAUCAGGAGGAACACCGGUGGCGAAGGCGGAUCUCUGGGCCAUUACUGACGCUGAGGAGCGAAAGCGUGGGGAGCGAACAGGAUUAGAUACCCUGGUAGUCCACGCCGUAAACGGUGGGAACUAGGUGUUG
rnacentral:rRNA from 1 species